GACGAACGCUGGCGGCGUGCUUAACACAUGCAAGUCGAACGGAAAGGCCCUGCUUGCAGGGUGCUCGAGUGGCGAACGGGUGAGUAACACGUGGGUGAUCUGCCCCUUACUUUGGGAUAAGCCUGGGAAACUGGGUCUAAUACUGGAUAGGACCAUGCUGUAGGUGGUGUGGUGGAAAGAUUAGUUUCGGUAAGGGAUGAGCUCGCGGCCUAUCAGCUUGUUGGUGGGGUAAUGGCCUACCAAGGCGUCGACGGGUAGCCGGCCUGAGAGGGUGGACGGCCACAUUGGGCCUGAGAUACGGCCCAGACUCCUACGGUAGGCAGCAGUGGGGAAUAUUGCACAAUGGGCGCAAGCCUGAUGCAGCGACGCCGCGUGGGGGAUGACGGCCUUCGGGUUGUAACCUCCUUUCAGCCAUGACGAAGCCCUUGUGGUGACGGUAGUGGUAGAAGAGGCACCGGCUAACUACGUG
rnacentral:rRNA from 1 species